AUUGAACGCUGGCGGCAUGCCUUACACAUGCAAGUCGAACGGCAGCGGACCUUCGGGUGCCGGCGAGUGGCGAACGGGUGAGUAAUAUAUCGGAACGUACCUUUCAGUGGGGGAUAACGUAGCGAAAGUUACGCUAAUACCGCAUAUUCUGUGAGCAGGAAAGCAGGGGAGUCGCAAGACCUUGCGCUGAUUGAGCGGCCGAUAUCAGAUUAGCUAGUUGGUGAGGUAAAGGCUCACCAAGGCGACGAUCUGUAGCGGGUCUGAGAGGAUGAUCCGCCACACUGGAACUGAGACACGGUCCAGACU
rnacentral:rRNA from 1 species